GAGGCGUAGCGGUCAACACCCUGGACUUUGUAUCCAGUAACGCGAGUUCGAAUCUCGCC
rnacentral:tRNA from 1 species